CGGCCGCGGUACUCUGACCGUGCAAAGGUAGCAUAAUCAUUUGCCUUAUAAUUGAAGGCUUGUAUGAAUGGUUUGACAAGAAUGAAGCUGUCUCUCUAUAAUUAAUUAAAAUUUUAUUUAUAGGUGAAGAAGCCUAUAUUACAUUGAAAGACAAGAAGACCCUAUCGAGCUUUAAAAAAAUUAAUAAAUUAAAAAAUUAAUAUUAAAAUAUAAAUUUUGUUAUUAAGUUAUUUUAGUUGGGGCGACUGAGGAACAGAUAAAGCUUCCUGUAUAAUAUUAACACAUUCAAGUAUUGAUCCAAACAUUUUGAUUAAAGGAAUUAGUUACCGUAGGGAUAACAGCAUUAUCUUUUUUGAGAGUUCUAAUCGAAAAAAAGGUUUGUGACCUCGAUGUUGGACCAGAAUAUCCUAAAGAUGUAGCCGUCUUUAAGG
rnacentral:rRNA from 1 species